rnacentral:lncRNA from 1 species
CAGAUGGGGAUCGCUUAUUGAAGAAGCUCGAUCGAAGUUUGCCUGUAACAGGAGUUCGAAAGGAAUUCGUUUACAGUAGAAGUUCGGAUGGAAUUCGCUUACAGUAGAGAUCCGGAGUAGACCGCUCGUAGUAGAAGUUCGGAGUAGACUGCUUGCAGUAGAGGUUCGGAGUAGAGAUCCUGCUGGUGGAGGCUGUUCAUCGUAGAAGCUCGUCUAUGAUCCAUCCACUGUAG